rnacentral:rRNA from 1 species
CCUUUUGGGGCCAUUGGCGUAGAGAGGGGGGAUCCGAUUUUCGGAUCGGCGCCGAAGGCGCCCAACCCUACUCGAUUUUUAUGAAAAACCACUCUUUUUAUUAGGAUUACUGGCUAAAACCGUACAAGUAAGGUAGUUUGGUUGGGGCGACCGCCUUCGAAAAAGUAUCGAAGGCGUACAUAAGAUUAAUCCGGGGGGGGUGUCCUUUUUUCACCCCCAAACAAACCGGGGGUAAUGCCCCAAAAAAGAUUAGUUUGACUGAGAGGGCUACAACCCGAACAGGCGCUUUUAGGU